AGCCGCGAGGGUCGUGCUGCCCGGGACGAUCGUUGGAAGAUAGAUGAAGGCGGCCGUCUGUUCGGCUUUCGGCAGCGCUGCUGCUGCGCGAACGUCAACAGCUGAGGCAUGAUUUGAAGAAGGGACAGUGCGCGGCGUUGUUGUUUUUUUUUGCACGUCUCCUUGGCUCGGCCUUUGGCGGCGGCGGCUGUGCUUGGCAGAAAAUCGCUUCGAAAACCUGCGAAGCAGUUUGAGCUGUAUUUCUGCGCUUGCGUGUCUACAAAACAGCGAAGUCGUGGUCUUCGAAAGAGCCCGGAGUUUGACCGCGCGUUCGGAGCUCCUCGAGAACUCGCGGCGUGAGUACACCACGCGCACACGGGUGUCUGUUUCCCGGCUGUUCUUAGACACCGGUUGACCGCGCACGUGACGGUCACUUGCAAGUUCGCGGUGCAAACGUCGCUGGCGCAUUUGUGCAAAAGAGCGUUUUCGGCGCGCGUGGACCCAACUAUGCGCAAGCAACAACGUGGUCUCGUCGCCGGCACGACGACAACGCACUCACGUCGUAUUUGACCGUUUUCCAAGAGGGGCCCGAAAGAGAGAGAGAGAGAAAAAAAAAACGUCACACUCGGGCGAAGUGCUCGUGGAACUCAAGAACGUGAACGGCGACUCGUCGAAACAAGUUGUCACUCAAGUCGCACACCGCUGCGUGACCCUUUGACCUGCUGUCCUGUGAAUUGGGCUCCUCUGUGUUUUGACUGCACCCAAGAAGCAGUGGUGUUUCGAAGUGCACGUGGAUAGCACUGCAACUGCAUGUGAUAGAAGACCAUACGUGGCUCGUCGCUCGCAACGUCGUUUGCGCUCGAAGAAACAAAAGAAAAAGAAAGCACUACGUCGGGGUGGACUUUGUUGUGUCUCGUCCAACAGUCCCCGUGGGGAAGAAAAUCGAAACGUUACAAGCACGUUCCGCACUUGGCCGUCGGUCUCCGUUUCGCCGAGCGGCGAUACAGUUCGAGCCCACGAAAUCGAUCUCGGCUCCCUUCGCCGCUGACACAGAGAGCGCGUUGCUCCCGAGCGAAACCAACUCCUUGAGUGUUUACAGAACCGUUACACCGCGCUGUUGACGCCUUCUUGCGAUACCCGGAAUACCGGGUGUUUUUUGAGGUUCCAGUGUUGAUCCGGCAGCGUCGCGGGUCUCUUGUAGCAGUGACGACAAACGGGCGAGCGAACGUCGCGGCGUUCGGCAAGAAGCUGCAUCGAGUGGUGUUGUGACAGAGAAGAGAGACACGUGGGCGUCCGAGAAAAUUGUCGCAGGUGUUUGACGAUCGGUACUUCUGUCGCCCGCCCCGCGAAGUCGGCUAUUCGUCGCGACUCGCGCCUUUGUUUGUGCAUGCGAGGCUGCGGUGUUGUCGUCGUCGAGAUCCGACCUCGUCACGGAUAAAUUCCGGCGCCGGUCGUCGUGGGACGAAACGCCGGCGAGGAAGCGGCGCGAACCGGCCGAUCAAGGCUUCUUCCUUGGCAGGGUUGCCAACGGCAAAGUACCCUUCACAGGGGCUCACUGAAAACUGCGAAACAUGGAAGAUAUUACGGUGGCGCCUGUCACGGACUCCAGCUAACAGCCUGGUUUCAAGUCUAUCGAAGCCUUCCGGAGCUUACUGCACCGUAAUCUUCGAGAAAGUAUUCCCGGCCUGCCGCCUGCUAACUCAUACGCACUAAUCGAUCGUCGUCAAUGACGCAUUGACCGAGACAAGUUUUAGCGAGAGACUUCGCAACCCUUGAGGUAUCAGUGGCGUUCGGCUGAAAUUCUUGAACGUUCGGACGAAGCGGUUCCCUCGUAUAAAUGCUAUUUCAUUUCUGGCGAAUCUCCUACAACUGGAACCGGCAAGACGAUGCAGACGAGUAUGUUUCAACAGUGCCGUGCGUUAUAGAGCAUCGUCUCAAGAAGCAAGCACAAGCAUUAGCUGCACAAAGGCUGCCUCUCAAAUUGCGGAACACUUCGCGUUUCACAGACAGGCUACUCUGUGUCAACGGGAGUUGAGAAAGAGGGGAAAGAAAUGCACGCCUCGAGGCCCAGCGCAUCGAGAAAACUGCGAGAAGCCCACUAAUAUUAGCCCAACACUAGGCGGC
rnacentral:lncRNA from 1 species